rnacentral:rRNA from 1 species
UUGAGAGCGGCGGACGGGUGAGUAAUGCCUAGGAAUCUGCCUGGUAGUGGGGGAUAACGUUCGGAAACGGACGCUAAUACCGCAUACGUCCUACGGGAGAAAGCAGGGGACCUUCGGGCCUUGCGCUAUCAGAUGAGCCUAGGUCGGAUUAGCUAGUUGGUGAGGUAAUGGCUCACCAAGGCGACGAUCCGUAACUGGUCUGAGAGGAUGAUCAGUCACACUGGAACUGAGACACGGUCCAGACUCCUACGGGAGGCAGCAGUGGGGAAUAUUGGACAAUGGGCGAAAGCCUGAUCCAGCCAUGCCGCGUGUGUGAAGAAGGUCUUCGGAUUGUAAAGCACUUUAAGUUGGGAGGAAGGGCAGUUACCUAAUACGUGAUUGUUUUGACGUUACCGACAGAAUAAGCACCGGCUAACUCUGUGCCAGCAGCCGCGGUAAUACAGAGGGUGCAAGCGUUAAUCGGAAUUACUGGGCGUAAAGCGCGCGUAGGUGGUUAGUUAAGUUGGAUGUGAAAUCCCCGGGCUCAACCUGGGAACUGCAUUCAAAACUGACUGACUAGAGUAUGGUAGAGGGUGGUGGAAUUUCCUGUGUAGCGGUGAAAUGCGUAGAUAUAGGAAGGAACACCAGUGGCGAAGGCGACCACCUGGACUGAUACUGACACUGAGGUGCGAAAGCGUGGGGAGCAAACAGGAUUAGAUAC